CAGCAGCCACGGUAAUACAGAGGGUGCGAGCGUUAAUCGGAUUUACUGGGCGUAAAGCGUGCGUAGGCGGCUUCUUAAGUCGGAUGUGAAAUCCCUGAGCUUAACUUAGGAAUUGCAUUCGAUACUGGGAAGCUAGAGUAUGGGAGAGGAUGGUAGAAUUCCAGGUGUAGCGGUGAAAUGCGUAGAGAUCUGGAGGAAUACCGAUGGCGAAGGCAGCCAUCUGGCCUAAUACUGACGCUGAGGUACGAAAGCAUGGGGAGCAAACAGGAUUAGAUACCCCUGUAGUCCCUGUCUCUUAUAA
rnacentral:rRNA from 1 species